CUCAACCCCGGAACUGCUUCGGAUACUGGAGGGCUUGAGUGCUCUAGAGGGCAGUGGAAUUCCCGGUGUAGCAGUGAAAUGCGUAGAGAUCGGGAGGAACACCAGUGGCGAAGGCGACUGCCUGGGGAGUAACUGACGCUGAGGCGCGAAAGCUGGGGGAGCAAACGGGAUUAGAUACCCCGGUAGUCCCAGCCGUAAACGAUGAGUGCUAGGUGUAGCGGGUAUCGACCCCCGCUGUGCCGCAGUUAACGCACUAAGCACUCCGCCUGGGGAGUACGGCCGCAAGGUUGAAACUCAAAGGAAUUGACGGGGGCCCGCACAAGCGGUGGAGCAUGUGGCUUAAUUCGAUGCAACGCGAAGAACCUUACCUGGGCUCGAACGCUAGGCGACCGCUCCUGAAAGGGAGCUUUCCGCAAGGACGC
rnacentral:rRNA from 1 species